rnacentral:rRNA from 1 species
AGUGAACGCUGGCGGUAGGCCUAACACAUGCAAGUCGAACGGCAGCACAGUAAGAGCUUGCUCUUACGGGUGGCGAGUGGCGGACGGGUGAGGAAUACAUCGGAAUCUACUUUUUCGUGGGGGAUAACGUAGGGAAACUUACGCUAAUACCGCAUACGACCUACGGGUGAAAGCAGGGGAUCUUCGGACCUUGCGCGAUUGAAUGAGCCGAUGUCGGAGUAGCUAGUUGGGGGGGUAAAGGCCCACCAAGGCGACGAUCCGUAGCUGGUCUGAGAGGAUGAUCAGCCACACUGGAACGUAAACAGGGUCCAGACUCCUACGGGAGGCAGCAGUGGGGAAUAUUGGGCAAUGGGCGCAAGCCUGAUCCAGCCAUACCGCGUGUGUGAAGAAGGCCUUCGGGUUGUAAAGCCCUUUUGUUGGGAAAGAAAAGCAGCAGGUUAAUACCCCGCUGUUCUGACGGUACCCAAAAAAUAAGCACCGGCUAACUUCGUG